rnacentral:rRNA from 1 species
CGAAAGCCUGACGGAGCAAGACCGCGUGGGGGAGGAAUGCCUUAGGGUUGUAAACCCCUUUUAUCUGGGAAGAAACUAUUGUCAAAGAUAGCUGACGGUACCAGAUGAAUAAGCCUCGGCUAACUCCGUGCCAGCAGCCGCGGUAAUACGGAGGAGGCAAGCGUUAUCCGGAAUUAUUGGGCGUAAAGCGUCCGCAGGUGGCGAUUCAAGUCUGCUGUCAAAGCACGGGGCUUAACUCCGUAAAGGCAGUGGAAACUGAAUAGCUAGAGUGCCGUAGGGGUAGAGGGAAUUCCCGGUGUAGCGGUGAAAUGCGUAGAGAUCGGGAAGAACAUCGGUGGCGAAAGCGCUCUACUGGACGGCAACUGACACUCAGGGACGAAAGCUAGGGGAGCG